AUACUACUCCCUCCGUCCGGAAAUACUUGUUCUAGAAAUAGAUAUAAUGGAUGUAUAGGACAAGUAUUUCCGGACGGAGGGAGUAUUAU
rnacentral:pre_miRNA from 1 species